GCCCUGGUAGCUUAGCGGGAGAGCGCUGGACUGAAGAUCCAGUUGUCGCGUGUUCAAAUCACGCCCAGGGCUCCA
rnacentral:tRNA from 1 species